GACGAACGCUGGCGGCGUGCUUAACACAUGCAAGUCGAACGGUGAAGGGACUGGUUUUGCUGGUCCUGGAUGAGUGGCGAACGGGUGAGUAACACGUGAGUAACCUGCCCCCUUCUUCUGGAUAACCGCAUGAAAGUGUGGCUAAUACGGGAUAUUCUGGGUCUGUCGCAUGGUGGGCCUGGGAAAGAUUGCGCCUUUUUUGGUGUUUUUGGUGGGGGAUGGGCUCGCGGCCUAUCAGCUUGUUGGUGGGGUGAUGGCCUACCAAGGCGGUGACGGGUAGCCGGCCUGAGAGGGGGGACGGUCACACUGGGACUGAGACACGGCCCAGACUCCUACGGGAGGCAGCAGUGGGGAAUAUUGCACAAUGGGCGCAAGCCUGAUGCAGCGACGCCGCGUGAGGGAUGGAGGCCUUCGGGUUGUGAACCUCUUUCGCCGGUGAAGCAGGCCUGCCUCUUUUUGUGGGUGGGUUGACGGUAGCUGGAUAAGAAGCGCCGGCUAACUACGUG
rnacentral:rRNA from 1 species